rnacentral:lncRNA from 1 species
AGUCCAGGCAGCCACCAGCUGGCCUGGUCUUGCUGCUUCCUUUAGCGGCUUCCAAGGUCCAGGGACAGGGGGUCUGGGCCACCAAGAGGCUCUGCUAGGCUGUCCCUGCAGCCACAGCCACCCCACUGGACCCCUGCCUCCCAUCUGAGAGGACAGCCCUCUUCCUGGAGCUGGGAUCUGACACUUGCUGAUACCAACGGCAGAUACCAGGUAACGAGAUGUGAGCAGAAACAACCUGUGUCACACCUGGGCAGAAGCUUUAAAGGCCAGUGCUGCCCUUGUUGGGGAAGCAAGUAUAGAUAUGAAUCGUUCCACAACGCGGAGCGCCCCCUGCCGACCCAUGCUGGGCGUGUACUAUAGCUCAUGGAAUCUUCACAACAACCAAGGCUCAUUUGAUGGGUGAAGAAACUGAGGACCAGAGAAGUGAAGCAAAGCACCAUCAUCAUAGAGCUUCAAGGGGCAGAGCCACAUCACCAAACUGUCUCCGACAAUGGCCUCUGAUCUGUCCUCAAGCUGAUGCUAUUGGUCAAAGGGACUAGGCCUACAUAGCUAGGAAAAAUUAGGCUCACCUGGCACUUAAAAACAGAUAUACAGUAUUGCCCUGAUGGAAGAUUGUUGACAUCCCCUAUCUCUUCACUUGUCCUGUUUAGAGCACUUGAAGAUGCUGCUAUUCCAGGCUACCUCAGCCCACCCCUUCUUAUCCAUCCAUUCA